UACAGAGGUCUCGAGCGUUAGGCGGAAUCACUGGGCUUAAAGCGUGUGUAGGCGGAUCGGUAAGUACCUUGUGAAAUCCCACAGCUUAACUGUGGAACUGCUCGGUAUACUGCCAGUCUUGAGCCAGCUAGGGGCUACCGGAACAAAUGGUGGAGCGGUGAAAUGCGUAGAUAUCAUUUGGAACGCCAAUGGUGAAAACAGGUAGCGGGGGCUGUGCUGACGCUGAGACACGAAAGCCAGGGGAGCAAACGGG
rnacentral:rRNA from 1 species